rnacentral:rRNA from 1 species
UACGUAGGGUGCGAGCGUUGUCCGGAAUGACUGGGCGUAAAGGGCGCGUAGGCGGCUUGCACAGUCAGGCGUGAAAUUCCUGGGCUCAACCUGGGGACUGCGCUUGAGACGUGUGGGCUUGAGUGGGGAAGAGGGUCGUGGAAUUCCCAGUGUAGAGGUGAAAUUCGUAGAUAUUGGGAAGAACACCGGUGGCGAAGGCGGCGACCUGGUCCUUGACUGACGCUGAGGCGCGAAAGCGUGGGGAGCAAACAGG